rnacentral:ncRNA from 2 species
UGCCUGUCUGCGGGAGAGAUCCAAACCGGAUAGAACCGGGGCGGACGCCGAAGGGGAAAUCGCCCGAAAUCUCUCAGGCAAAAGAACCGUAGACGGGUC